GGAUGGGAUGGGACCGGAUCGGGAGAGCAAGCUCCCAUCAACCACAGCCAGCAGUUGGUAGGAGACCGGAGGGUGGUUUAAUUGUUAAUUUUGUGUGUGUGUGUGUGUAUCUGUAAAAAAGCAAUCAAUCACUAUAAGUGUCAAUAUAAGUGAAACUGGAGAUAGAGAUGGUGAACCUCACCAACACCACAAAAAAACAAACCUUACUAAAAAA